rnacentral:rRNA from 1 species
GACGAACGCUGGCGGCGUGCUUAACACAUGCAAGUCGAACGGAAAGGCCCUGCUUUUUUGGUGUUCUCGAUUGGCGAACGGGUGAGUAACACGUGAGUAACCUGCCCUUGACUUUGGGAUAACUUCAGGAAACUGGGGCUAAUACCGUAUAGGAUCUCCUGCUGCAUUGUGGGGGUUGGAAAUUUUCGGCUGUUGGGGAUGGACUCGCGGCUUAUCAGCUUGUUGGUUGGGUAGUGGCUUACCAAGGCUUUGACGGGUAGCCGGCCUGAGAGGGUGACCGGCCACAUUGGGACUGAGAUACGGCCCAGAGUGCAACGGGGGGCAGCAGUGGGGAAUAUUGCACAAUGGGAGGAAGUCUGAUGCAGAAACGCCGCGUGCGGGAUGCCGGCCUUCGGGUUGUAAAACGCUUUCGCCUGUGACGAAGCGUGAGUGACGGUAAUGGGUAAAGAAGCACCGGCUAACUACGUG